rnacentral:rRNA from 1 species
UACGGAGGAGGCAAGCGUUAUCCGGAAUUAUUGGGCGUAAAGCGUCCGCAGGUGGCACUUCAAGUCUGUCGUCAAAGACUGGGGCUUAACCCUGGAAAGGCAGUGGAAACUGAAGCGCUAGAGUGUGGUAGGGGUAGAGGGAAUUCCCGGUGUAGCGGUGAAAUGCGUAGAGAUCGGGAAGAACACCGGUGGCGAAAGCGCUCUGCUGGACCACAACUGACACUCACAGGACGAAAGCUAGGGGAGCGAAUGGG